GAUUCCAUAUGGUUACCAUUUAUUUUUUUAAUACCACAAAAGAUACCAUAUAAAAUUUGCAUUUGGCUGUGUCAUUUGCUUCCGGCCUUUCUUGUGGAUGGCAUGAGGAUAUGUGUGGGCCGCCGUCCGAGGAUGUGGAAAUUGUAUAGCAAAAUUCACAAAAUUUCUAAAGCAAUAGCACAUUUUUGCACAAAUAAAUGGAAUUUCAGCGAUAAUAACGUUCAAAUGUUGUGGAACAACUUAAAUAAAGAGGAUCAGCAAAUAUAUCCAUUCAACAUAAGGGAACUUGACUGGGCAAAAUAUCUCAUUGAUUAUCAUAAAGGCAUACGUCUUUAUCUAUUAAAAGAAGAUGAUAGUACUUUGGAAAUCAGUCGUAUCAAUUAUAACAGGCUUUACUGGACACACCAAAUAUUUAAAACUGUGCUUAUUUUUGCCAUUCUUUGGCUUAUCUGGAACAUAUUCAUCAAAAUAUUUGCAUAGUUGUUAGAUGUUACACUCUGCAUACAUGAAACAUUCACAAAAAGGCUUGCAUCUAAUAUAAGGAAUGUCAUAUAAAUAUGCGGAAGGUCAUCACAGUGGUCAUCAAGAUCUCGCGCUGUCGUUGUUUUAGUUGACUUGGAUGCCACGUGAAACCUUGUCGGGAUUUGGAAACAUUCGUGACCUAUCCCGAGAACGGGGAUUACACUGUUUGCGAUGUCAAAGAGUCAGCAGCCACUCGCCAGGAAUUCUGGCGCCACGCCAACCGUGGAAAAAUAGGUUAUCGAUCAACCCCCCUCAAGUCUUGGUAAUAACUACAGGAUCCCUCCCUCCCAAAUCCAAAAAGAGAGACAGGGAGAGAAGGGGUUAAAGAUCCGCGUCUAAGAAGUGGAAAUCUCGUGCACGGGCCCGGCGGGAUAAGCGUUAUUAAGUAUAUAUGUAUACAGUCGUGUACGAAGAAGAGCCAAAACCGUGUCAAGUUUUAUUAACUCCUUCAAUUUUAGGAGACAAUUCAAAUAUAUUUAUUAUCAUUUUUAACAAUAGUGGCGAUUAAUGUAUAACAGCAAGUAAGUUUGAUCACGCAAAAUUAAUAAAGGGACAAACAAAGGACCGAAGGAAAUGAAAAAAUAA